UUUUGUAUUAUACAUUGUUUAUAACUGUGUAUUUGUUGGUAAUGUAUACCAAAAUUUUGGGACUUUUCUGAUUGCAGGUUUAUUAAUUUUUUUGAUGAAUAUUAAUUUUUGUAUUAUACAUUGUUUAUAACUGUGUAUUUGUUGGUAAUGUAUACCAAAAUUUUGGGACUUUUCUGAUUGCAGGUUUAUUAAUUUUUUCAAUUAUCCAUUGUUGAUUAAACUGUGUAUUUGUGGAUUAUGCAUAUGAAAUGUAAUGAUUGGUUUAUGAAAUUGUGUAUUUAUGGGUGAUGCAUAUAUCAAUUUUGGGACUUUUCUGAUUGCAGGUUUAUUAAUCUUUUCAAUUAUCCAUUGUUGAUUAAACUGUGUAUUUGUGGAUUAUGCAUAUGAAAUGUAAUGAUUGGUUUAUGAAACUGUGUAUUUAUGGGUGAUGCAUAUAUCAAUUUUGGGGCUUUUCUGAUUGCAGGUUAUUCCCAAUUGCUUUGUGGUUUGAAUUUUUUUGUAAGCUCUUUUGGGGCUUGACUGGUUAUGCAUGAUUGGUUUUUGCUGUGAUUUUUAUUAGAAUUUGGUUAGUUGGGUUCUGUGUAGAAUGCAAUGUGAUGGUAUUGUUAUAGUGUAAAUAGAAUGCAAUGUGAUGGUUUGGAUGUUAUAUGUUUGUGGCUGAUUUUAUUUAUGGUGUAAUGAAUAGCAUACUUGUUUACAUAUCUCUUAGACUACAAUGUUUGUGAUUUUGUUAGAUGAAGAAAAAAACCAAAGCCGCAAUUCUUGCAUCAGUUGCAUCUGUCCUCCUUGUGGGGGUUGCAUUGUUAAAGAAAUUACGACGUAGACGUAGAGAUCUGCCUAGGGCGCCUUAUGUUAACCAUGCCGCCGAGAGAGAGGAAUACAUAAAUAGUGUUUUGCAUGGAAGUGAGAGACAUUGUGUGAAUCAACUUAGGAUGAAGCCUAUAGCUUUCCACCACUUAUGUCACGCCCUCACUGAGGGGGAGCACGUACGUCCGACUGUUCACAUGUCUGUUACGGAGCAAGUGUUCAUUUUCUUGCACAUUAUUGGUCAUAAUGUGAGGUUUCGUGUAAUGGGUGGUCGGAUCUAUAGAUCAACUGAGACUGUUCAUAGAUACUUCAAAGUUGUCCUUAGGGGGGUCCUGAAAUUAUAUAGAGCUCUAAUAAGACUGCGUAGCGAAGAUACACCUCCAGAGAUAAGGAAUAGCAGAAGGUUUUACCCAUAUUUUAAGGAUUGUGUUGGAGCAAUAGAUGGUACACAUGUUCGUGCAUCUGUGCCACCUGAAAUACAAGGAAGAUUUCGUGGUCGCAAAGAUGGAACCACGCAAAAUGUGUUAGCUGCCAUUAGUUUCGACUUAAAGUUCACUUAUGUGUUGGCUGGAUGGGAAGGCAGUGCACAUGAUUCACGUGUAUUAAAUGAUGCAUUUGCUAGGCCAGGGGGAUUUUCAAUUCCCAAUGGUAAAUUUUAUCUUGGUGAUGCUGGGUAUGGUAAUAAAAAUGGAAUAUUGUCAGCGUAUCGGAGUGUACGAUAUCACUUGAAAGAGUUUAGUGAUCGUCCUCCUGAGAAUGCGCAAGAAUUGUUCAAUCUCCGACACUCUUCAUUGAGAACUACCAUUGAGCGAGGGUUUGGAGUGGUGAAAAAACGUUUUCGAGUGUUGGAUGCAGAACCAUAUUGGUCUUUCCCAACCCAAGUGAAAGUAGUGUUAGCGUGUUGUGUGGUUCAUAAUCACAUUAUGGGGGUUGAACCAAAUGACCAUAUUAUGGAAGAUGCAAUGAACCAAGUAGAGCUUAGUGACCACCAAGAAGAAACACAGUCUCGUCGGGAGUCCGUCGAAGAUAGUAGAUCAUGGAAUGCUAAGAGAGAUGAGAUAUGUCAAGCCAUGUGGUCUGAUUAUAUCAGGAGUGGAGAGUAGUACUUUAUUUAGAUUUUUAUGAUUGUAAUGUGUUUUUUCUUUUUGUUUUUUUUUAAAGACAAUGUAUGUAAUAUAGACUUUUGGUGAUGUAAUGAAAAAGUAUUUUUAGCAUUACAUUGUUAUUUGAUGGUAUUACAUUGUCAUUUCCAUAGUUAGCAUGUUCCGUUCUAUUGUGCACAUUCAUAAGCGUGGUUGUAUGUGUGUUUGAUUUGUUAUUCAUGUUCCGAGUGUAAUUACUGAAUGCUACUCUCACUAUACUAUUUUCGUAUGUAGUAAUGUCAAAGGGUAAGGAAAAAGUUAGCGGCAGCAAGCAAUUUAGGUGGCUGCCACCUAUGCAUGAGAUGAUGCUAAAGAUAUUAACAGAGGAGGCUGGAAAGGGCAAUAAGCCCUCUAAUACUUUUAGGGCCGGCUCCUUUGCUCUUGUAGCGAAGGAGAUAACGGCCCAUUUCGGGGUUGAGUGCCACCCUGUAUUUGUGGAGAACCGGAUGCGGACUCUAAGGUCCAUGUGGGCAACUAUUCAAGAGCUUAGAAAGAAGAGUGGAUUCGGUUGGGACGAAAAUCUGAAAAUGAUAACGUGUGACGCUAAAACCUACCAAGAAGAAGUUAUGGCACAUCGGAAGCAUGCCGAGUAUCUGAACAAAAAAAUUGAGUUUUACGAUGAAUUAGCGAUUGUGGUGGGGAAGGAUACAGCCACAGGUGCCUUUGCUAAGUCUGGAGUGGAUAUCGAAAAUGAGCCAGAUAAUGGGGAUAAUGGGGAUAGUGCAGAGUUUGUGGCAGAUAAUGUGGAUGAAUGUGUGGUUGAAAAGGGGAAGAACGUAAAUGAAUCAUCCACCACUGGGUCGGGAAUUUCCAAGUCCCGCAAAAGAGGGCGUGCAGCUUCUACUGCUGAUGAUAGUGUGCUGACUGAUCUGUCUGGUCAGCUGAAGGAAAUAGCUGUCGCUCUAAAAGAAAUUAAUCGGGGCCCGGUAGAUUACACAACUUUGUAUAAUGAGGUAAUGGCUAUGAUGGCGGAUGGAUAUAGCGAAGAUAUGCUCGCUACUGCCUUCGACCAUCUUUGUGAGAAUGAGAAGACGGCACGUGGAUUUUUAGCAAAGAAUGCUAGGUUGAGGAAGUUGUGGUUAGAUGGUUAUUUUUUCUCACAAAUUUGAUUUGCUUAUUUCAUGUUGACUGUGAUGGUAGAUUUAGGAAUUAACUAGACAUUGUAGUAUUAAUAUUGACGUAUCAAUGUAUUAUAUAUGUACUCUUUUGUAUUAUUGGGACGAUACAAUUGCCCAAAUUAUGUAUUUCGAAUGAUUAUGUUUGAUGUUGAACCAAAUGUGCUGCAAUUUUUGUAUUGUUACAGAUAUGUAUAGGGAAUGCAGGUUCUUCAAUUU